UAGCUAAGAACUCCCUCUCUCACUCAGAGAAAAGAAGAACCGAAAAUAAACAACCAAAAAUGAACUGAUUUUAUUCAUCAAAGGGACUACAUAUUUAUACUACUUGUAGUCAAAGAGAAUUAAAGAGAAUUGUGGGAAAACAAGGCAUAGAAAAUAGAAACAUUGACUAGAAUAUUAUUAAUGAGUCAAAGACUCAGUCUUCCAUGCAGAUUAGUCAAAGAUGACCAUUCGGUUCACGUUCUGGUCAAGGAAACCCUUCGGCUACUGUCCAGGUUCAUCCGAACCAGAUGGAUGCACGGGGUAAAGAUAAGGACGCUUGCGGGACUGUCCGGAUGGUCCACCAGAUAAGAAUGCAUGUCCGUCUUUGGUUUCUUCACGACCCAAGCUAAGUCUGGCUCGACCGUGGGUUUUAGAAUGUCGAGUUGGUCGGGGAAGACGGGCUGUGGUUCGGUCGGUUAGGUCGUCUGGACGUGGUUCCAGCCGAAGCUCCAAUCAGGACGCACGCGGGACGGCUCGGUCAGUCUGAUCGGUACGGUCGGAUGAACGAACCUCGGUCAAAUUGUUCAGAACGUUCUGAUCUCCAUGCUGGUUGGCUCCAAUGGACUGAUCCACGAACCAGGGCAAAUCAUAUGGUCUCCGGGAAGGGAUGGCUUCCAUAGCAUCGUCGUUCGCCGGCUUCUCACUAGGGGUCGUAGCCAUUUUCAAGCUUAUUUGAAUCAUUAAAGAUAGAGUUCGCUCAUGCUGGAAAAUUAGUUCUCGGAUCGAUUGAAGAUGAUUGAUGUCUUUUUCAAAAGAGUAAAUCUGCUAGUUAAGUUUUUCGACUUGAACUUCCUUGAAGGCCGCUUUGAUUGGUCGGUUUUUCAUUGGUUUGGCUUCUUCGUUGACCGAGCGCCGUCGCGCCUCUUCGCUGGCACCAGAGGAAGAAAUACGGAUCCACGUCUUGACGCGUGUACUUUUAACGCAUGGCGUCGUACACGUGGUGGCGUCGUGUAUCUUUAUUUCCCAACGGGUUCUUUUCUUGUGGGCUUACAGCCGCAAGCUACUGUGUUACUGGGCUUUGUGUUCUGGGCCAUUUAGUUUUAUGUUGUUUAUAUUUUGAACCUUAUGUUAGAUCUUUUACGUUUAGCUGCACCUCUGUUUAGACCUUUUGUAAUAUAUUGUGUUGGGUUUUGUCUGUCCCAUUAAUAAAUUUACCAGUGAAAAAAAAUAACAUCAUACUAUAUUCAUCAAA